rnacentral:rRNA from 1 species
UACGUAGGGGGCGAGCGUUGUCCGGAAUUAUUGGGCGUAAAGGGCGCGUAGGCGGUCUUGCAAGUCCCGUGUGAAAUCCCUCGGCUCAACUGAGGAACUGCACGGGAAACUGCUUGGCUUGAGUUCGGGAGAGGGAAGCGGAAUUCCGGGUGUAGCGGUGAAAUGCGUAGAUAUCCGGAGGAACACCGGUGGCGAAGGCGGCUUCCUGGACCGACACUGACGCUGAGGCGCGAAAGCUAGGGGAGCAAACGGG